rnacentral:siRNA from 1 species
AUAAAACUGGCGGUCACUGUGAGG